ensembl:lncRNA novel transcript, antisense to CAMK2G
CACAUCCUCCAAGAUCCUAGAAUGGCUAAAAUCUGUAAAGUGCUGAGAGUCUUCAGAGAGUUAAAUAAGAAUCCAGAGAAACAAGGUUAACGUUCUGAGGACCUCGUUAUUUGCCAAGAACAAGCACAGGGGUGUCACCUCCUCCGUGCAGCCUUCAGUAACCCCACCACCCACCAGGAACAGUAGGAGCUCCUGUACUCUCAUUAGAUUCUUGUACCUACUUGUCACAUUGUAACAUGACUGCCUGUUUGAGUGCCUGUCUCCCUAGAUGAUCUUUUGGGGCAGGGACCAUGCCUCAUUCAUCUUUGUAUCUCCAGCACCCAGACGGUAACCAGCACCAAAGAGGUAUUUAAUAAACACAGAAUGGACAGAUAAAUAAUGCCUCGUGGUUGUCAAGAUGCCUAACUCUACCAAAUCCUCUUCUUUGUCUGAAAGUUGAUAUUUCAGCUUGAAAGAAUUGUGUAUAAAAACAGAGUACGUCAACCCACACUGAUAGCCUAGAGGACUCUCCUAGGACUUUAGCGCAGAAGCUUUAUGCCUCAGCUUUUAUGCUUUUAAUGACUCAGAAACCCCUUCUGUUGAUUUGUUGGAUCUUGGUCACCACUCCAGUGGAGUUGAGAUCUGAGUAUGAACCCCAGCUUGGGAAUUCACUUUGGGUUUUGCCAGCUGCUUUCUAUCACCGGCUACCUGGAGUCCACAAGGGUCAACCUGAGCCCUCAUCCAAGAACAGAACCAAUCCCAGCCUGACAGCCAUGAGUGGGGGAGAGAGGAGCAGUGGCCCACCAGCCCCAUCAGCCUCCCGAGUCUCCCUGGUGACAUUUAUUGACCCUGGCCCUCAACAGUCCUCUGCCCGCCUGCUCAGUUAU